rnacentral:rRNA from 1 species
GGUUGAUCCUGCCAGUAGUCAUAUGCUUGUCUCAAAGAUUAAGCCAUGCAUGUCUAAGUAUAAACAAAUUUGUACUGUGAAACUGCGAAUGGCUCAUUAAAUCAGUUAUAGUUUAUUUGAUGGUACCUUGCUACAUGGAUAACUGUGGUAAUUCUAGAGCUAAUACAUGCGUCAAAGCCGCGACUUCUGGAAGCGGUGUAUUUAUUAGAUAAAAAACCAACGCGGUUCGCCGCUCCCUUGGUGAUUCAUAAUAACUUCUCGAAUCGCAUGGCCUUGCGCCGGCGAUGCUUCAU